GGGAAGGUUGAAUUAGUCUUCUCUGCCACGCCUGAGAAGAUUCAAGGGUCCGAACACUUGUACAACGACCACGGUGUGAUUGUGGACUACAACACAACAGACCCACUGAUACGCUGGGACUCGUACGAGAACCUCAGUGCAGAUGGAGAAGGUGCGUGUGUUCAUCUUGUGUGCAGUUAUGGAGGCAAAGGGCACAGGGAAGACAGCCCACUCAAAUAUCUGAAGUAUUUUGCAGUCUGCUAAGAAGAAAAAAUUUCCCCUGUUUUCUCAGAGGUCCAGAAUCACACCUUCGUGUGACACAGUUGUGAGUUUUGAGGGUCUUCGUGAGAAUAAGGCAUGGUGAGUUUGGGUCAGGGC
rnacentral:lncRNA from 1 species